rnacentral:rRNA from 1 species
GACGGAGGGUGCUAGCGUUGUUCGGAAUCACUGGGCGUAAAGGGCGCGUAGGCGGCCGCCCGCGUCGGACGUGAAAGCCCGGGGCUCAACCCCGGAACGGCGUCCGAUACGGGGCGGCUCGAGGCCGGGAGAGGGGGGGUGGAAUACCCAGUGUAGAGGUGAAAUUCGUAGAUAUUGGGUGGAACACCGGUGGCGAAAGCGGCCCCCUGGCCCCGGUACUGACGCUGAGGUGCGAAAGCGUGGGGAGCAAACAGG